GGGGUUGUGGCUCAGAGGUAGAGCACUUGCCUAGCAUGCAUAAGGCAGUGGGUUUGAUCCCCAGCACCA
rnacentral:tRNA from 1 species